rnacentral:misc_RNA from 1 species
CCAAUGAUUGGGAACCAGUUGAGGUUGAUAGGUCUCCUGGUUGCUAAAAUCAAAUACCCAUCUUUGUGCACCUUUUUUAUGUCUCUGGUGGUCGCAAGAGAAGUCUCUUAUUUGGAGGAUCUCUUCUAGUUCAUUUUGAUCCUCGGACAAAUGAAUGAAGCCACCAAAUGGUUGCUAUAACACACUUUUUUGCCGUCCAAAAUAUCUGUCUAACAUUGAUUUGUGUAAAAUACAUAAAA